rnacentral:rRNA from 1 species
GAUUAGUGGCGAACGGGUGAGUAACACGUGAGUAACCUGCCCUUAACUCUGGGAUAAGCCUGGGAAACUGGGUCUAAUACCGGAUAGGAGCGCCUACCGCAUGGUGGGUGUUGGAAAGAUUUAUCGGUUUUGGAUGGACUCGCGGCCUAUCAGCUUGUUGGUGAGGUAAUGGCUCACCAAGGCGACGACGGGUAGCCGGCCUGAGAGGGUGACCGGCCACACUGGGACUGAGACACGGCCCAGACUCCUACGGGAGGCAGCAGUGGGGAAUAUUGCACAAUGGGCGCAAGCCUGAUGCAGCGACGCCGCGUGAGGGAUGACGGCCUUCGGGUUGUAAACCUCUUUCAGUAGGGAAGAAGCGAAAGUGACGGUACCUGCAGAAGAAGCACCGGCUAACUACGUGCCAGCAGCCGCGGUAAUACGUAGGGUGCGAGCGUUAUCCGGAAUUAUUGGGCGUAAAGAGCUCGUAGGCGGUUUGUCGCGUCUGUCGUGAAAGUCCGGGGCUUAACCCCGGAUCUGCGGUGGGUACGGGCAGACUAGAGUGCAGUAGGGGAGACUGGAAUUCCUGGUGUAGCGGUGGAAUGCGCAGAUAUCAGGAGGAACACCGAUGGCGAAGGCAGGUCUCUGGGCUGUAACUGACGCUGAGGAGCGAAAGCAUGGGGAGCGAACAGGAUUAGAUACCCUGGUAGUCCAUGCCGUAAACGUUGGGCACUAGGUGUGGGGACCAUUCCACGGUUUCCGCGCCGCAGCUAACGCAUUAAGUGCCCCGCCUGGGGAGUACGGCCGCAAGGCUAAAACUCAAAGGAAUUGACGGGGGCCCGCACAAGCGGCGGAGCAUGCGGAUUAAUUCGAUGCAACGCGAAGAACCUUACCAAGGCUUGACAUGUUCUCGAUCGCCGUAGAGAUACGGUUUCCCCUUUGGGGCGGGUUCACAGGUGGUGCAUGGUUGUCGUCAGCUCGUGUCGUGAGAUGUUGGGUUAAGUCCCGCAACGAGCGCAACCCUCGUUCCAUGUUGCCAGCACGUAAUGGUGGGGACUCAUGGGAGACUGCCGGGGUCAACUCGGAGGAAGGUGAGGACGACGUCAAAUCAUCAUGCCCCUUAUGUCUUGGGCUUCACGCAUGCUACAAUGGCCGGUACAAUGGGUUGCGAUACUGUGAGGUGGAGCUAAUCCCAAAAAGCCGGUCUCAGUUCGGAUUGGGGUCUGCAACUCGACCCCAUGAAGUCGGAGUCGCUAGUAAUCGCAGAUCAGCAACGCUGCGGUGAAUACGUUCCCGGUCCUUGUACACCCCGCCCGUCAAGUCA